AACGAACGCUGGCGGCAUGCCUAACACAUGCAAGUCGAACGAGAACUUCGGGUCUAGUGGCGCACGGAUGCGUAACGCGUGGGAAUCUGCCCUUGGGUUCGGAAUAACAGUUGGAAACGACUGCUAAUACCGGAUGAUGACGUAAGUCCAAAGAUUUAUCGCCCAAGGAUGAGCCCGCUUAGGAUUAGCUAGUUGGUGAGGUAAAGGCUCACCAAGGCGACGAUCCUUAGCUGGUCUGAGAGGAUGAUCAGCCACACUGGGACUGAGACACGGCCCAGACUCCUACGGGAGGCAGCAGUGGGGAAUACUGGACAACGGGCGAAAGCCUGAUCCAGCUAGGCCGCGUGAGUGAUGAAGGCCUGAGAGUUGUAAAGCUCUUUUACCCGGGAUGAUAAUGACAGUACCGGGAGAAUAAGCACCGGCUAACUCCGUG
rnacentral:rRNA from 1 species